rnacentral:rRNA from 1 species
GGGUGUGACCAUACCAGCACAAACGCACCGAAUCCCAUCAGAACUCCGAAGUUAAGCGUGCUUCGACGAGAGUAGUACUAGGAUUGGUAACCCCCUGGGAAGUCCUCGUGUUGCACCCC